CCUGUACACCAGACUCCACCUCAUUAGGUCCUGUCUGCGCACAUUUUAACCACAUCUCUCUCUCCUCUUCUCUUGCUUGCAUCUCUUUUGCUUUAUUGAUUCCCACCACUGUGGGAGCGUACCAUUAUCUCUUGACUUCAGUUAAUUUCCCAGCCCCAGUGGCAUUCUUAUUCCUCCUGAUGACAGUGAAGAGUCAUGCAGCUUACCUACAAGUGCCACAAAACCUGGAUCUGUCCUGCUUCACUGUAAGAAUGCAGUUGUGCAAGCAGAUCUCCUGGGAGCUCACAAAAAGCUGUGCUUCUAGGAUUCAGAAUUAGCACUGGAACUGCACACUCAGCCCCUGACCAGGCAUCUCCAUUCAGAGCAAGACAUCAGAGAAUCCGGCUGCAGCCAGGGCCAGCUCAGAAGACCAGGAUUCCACAGGCCUGUGUUUGGCAGGGCCCUCAGGGCCGGCAGAGUGCUUAGCAAGGAGCCAGGAGGACAUGGCACUUCAGCUGGGCAACGGCAGGACAGACGCUGUGCCUUAUGGUGGGGGAUACAGUGGGGGAGCAGCCAGUCAGAGCCAGCCCCUGGGGAAGCCAGAGCAGGAGCUGAGGGCAGCAGCUGUGCCUACUGCCUCCCCACCCUGGGGCUGAACAACGAGGCUUCCCUCCCCUCUGCUCAGCACUUCCUGGGAGAACCAGGCAUGGG
rnacentral:lncRNA from 1 species